rnacentral:rRNA from 1 species
UACGUAGGGUGCGAGCGUUAAUCGGAAUUACUGGGCGUAAAGCGUGCGCAGGCGGUUCGCCAAGUCAGGUGUGAAAUCCCCGGGCUUAACUUGGGAAUUGCGCUUGUGACUGGCGUGCUGGAGUGUGGCAGAGGGAGGUGGAAUUCCACGUGUAGCAGUGAAAUGCGUAGAGAUCGGCAGGAACACCCAGGGGGAAACCAGCCGAACUGGGCAUCUACUGACGCUGAGGUGCGAGAGCGUGGGGAGCGAACCGG